UCUCUCUGUGAGUCGGAAACCGAGUGGUCGAAGAGAUGCCAAUUCGUUAGUAGGUGAACGGACGAGUCCUCCCCUCUAGCCACCUUUCAUCAGUAUAGUCAUGUGGGUCCUUGUGGAAGAGUUUUGAAGUCUGCCACACCUCCUUUCAAUCUUCUUUUGUUUUGUCUAAGGAGAAAAGUGUGUACACAUUUAGAACGAUAAGUAGCAAAUUGUUUAAAAUGUCUUGCACAUCUAACUUAAUUUAUCACUUUACACUUAUUUUGGGAUUCACGCAGAGAGAACGUUUGCUAAGUGCGUCGAGGCAUGUUGAUUCUGGUCGGAUCGAAAUAAAUUGUCAGUUUUCUCCGUUUCCAACUCUCCUUAACGUUCAAAUGAUUACACAAAACUGAUGGAUCCUAGAGAUAUAUCACCUACAGUGCAUUCGGAAAGUAUUCAGACCCCUUGACUUUUUCCACAUUUUAUUACGUUACAGCCUUAUUCUAAAAUGGAUUAAAUUGUUUUUCCCCCUCAUCAAUCUAUACACAAUACCCUAUAAUGACAAAGCAAAAACAGGUUUUAGAUUUUAUUUUUUACAAAAGAAAUAUAGAUAUAUAGAGAAAUAUAUAGAUAUUACAUUUACAUAAGUAUUCAGACCCUUUAAUCAGUACUUUGUUGAAGCAGCUUUGGCAGCAAUUACAGCCUUGAGUCUUCUUGGGUAUGACACUACAAGCUUGGCACGCCUGUAUUUGUGUAGUUUCUCCCACGCUUCUCUGCAGAUCCUCAAGCGCAGUCAGGUUGAGUGGGGAGCGUUGCUGCAAAGCUAUUUUCAGGUCUCUUCAGAAAUGUUGGGUUCAAGUCCGGGCUCUGGCUGGGCCACCCAAGGACUUGUCCUAAAGCCACUCCUGCGUUGUCUUGGCUGUGUGCUUCGUGUUGUCCUGUUGGCAGGUGAACCUUCGCCCCAGUCUGAGGUCCUGACCGCUCUAGCAGGUUUUCAUCAAGGUUCUCUUUGUAAUUUGCUCUGUUUAUCUUUCCCUCGAUCCUGACUAGUCUUCCUGCUGCUGAAUAACAUACCCACAGCAUGACAUACCCACCAUGCUUCACCGUAGGGGUGGUGCCAGGUUUCCUCCAGACGUGACUCUUGGCAUUCAGACUAAAGAGUUGGUUGGUUUCAUCAGACCAGAUAAUCUUGUUUCUCUUUUUUUAGGUGCCUUUUGGCAAACUCCAGCGGGCUGUCAUGUGCCUUUUACUGAGGAGUGGCUUCUGUCUGGCCACUCUACCAUAUAGGCCUUAUUGGUGGAGUGCUGCAGAGAUGGUUAUCCUUCUGGAAGGUUCUCCCAUCUCCACAGAGGAACUCUAGAACUCUGUCAGAGUGACUAUCGGGUUCUUGGUCACCUCCCUGAUCAUUGUCCUUCACCGAUUGCUCAGUUUGGCCGGGCGGCCAGCUCUAGGAAGAGUGUCGGUGGUUCCAAACUUCUUCCAUUUAAGAAUGAUGGAGGCCUAUGUGUUUUUGGGGGACCAUCAAUGCUGCAGAAUUGUUUUGCUAUCCUUCCCCAUUGUAGAGUAAUAGUGAAGACAUCAAAACUAUGAAAUCACACAUAGAAUCAUGUAGUAACCAGCAUAGUGUCAAGCAAAUCAAAAUAUAUUUUAGAUUCUUCAAAGUAGCCCCCUUUUGCACAAUCUUGGCAUUCUCUCAACCAGCUUCAUGAGAAAUUAUUUUCCAACUGUCUUUCCAGCACAUUCUGAAUACUUGUUGGCUGCUUUUCCUUCACUCCAUGGUCCAACUCAUCCCAAACCAUCUCAAUGGGGAUGAGGCUAGGUCAUCUGAUGCAGUACUCCAUCACUCUCCUUCUUGGUCAAAUAGCUCUUACACAGCCUGGUGGUGUGUUUUGGGUCAUUGUCCUGUUGAAAAACAAAUUACAGUCCCACCAAACGCAAACCAGAUGGGAUGGCAUAUCGCUGCGGAAGCCAUGCUGGUUGAAUGUGCCUUGAAUUCUAAAUAAAUCACCCACCGUGAUGUCCAUUGCUGGUGUUUCUUGACCCAAGCAAGUCUCUUUCUUAUUAUUGGUGUCCUUUUAGUAGUGGAUUCUUUGCGUGAAUCAGGCCUUCGAAUUGCUGCAGUCUCCUCUGAACAGUUGUUGUUGAGGUGUGUCUGUUACCCAAUUUUUGUAUUUUUAUUUAACCUUUUAUUUAAUUAGUUAAUAACCUUUUAUUUAAGCAGUUAAGAACAAAUUCUUAUUUACAAUGACAGCCUACCCCGGCCAAACUCAGACGACGCUGGGCCAAUUGUGCGCUGCCCUAUGGGACUCCUAACCACGGCUGUAUGUGAUACAGCCUGGAAUCGAACCAGGGACUGUAGUGACGCCUCUUGCACUGAGAUGCAGUGGCUUGGACCGCUGCGCCACUCGGGAGCCCAGAUAGGGCUAUCUUAUGUAUACCACCCCUACCUGGUCACAAAGCAACUGAUUGGCUCGAAUGCAUUAAGAAGGAAAGAAAUUCCGUAAAUUAACUUUUAUCAAAUCGCACCUGUUCAUUGAAAUGCAUUCCAAAUGUCUACCUCAUGAAGCUGGUUGAGAGAAUGCCAAGAAUGUGCAAAGCUGUCAAGGCAAAGGGUGGGCAACUUUGAUGAAUCUCAAAUAAACCAAUCAAAACAUAUUUUCGAACACUUUUUUGGAUACUACAUGAUUCCAUGUGUGUUAUUUUUGAAAGGAGAAAAUAGCAAAAAUACAGAAACUCUUGAAUGAGUAGGUGUGUCAACUUUUGACUGGUACUGUAGGUCUGUAGCCUAUACCAUUUAUCUUUUAAUACAGUCAUCUCUUGUUUAAUUUGCAGCGUCUUUAUAUCCUUUGCCAUGUUAGGCAAAAAAAUGGGCAAGUUUAUUUGUAGUCAGUCAAAUUUGGUUCACGGUCACAAAGAUGGAUGAACAUUUUGAUUUUGCGUUUAGCGGAUAUCUUCUGUGUAUAAAGUGACGUGGAAGGUCAAAGAAAGCAUCAAGCGACGUGCUUAGCUGUUCCACGACUGGUCUGAAGCAGUCGUUAAAUAACAAGCGUUUUCAAGAGCAACUUUGGUAACGAUGGUUUUGAGAAAAUGUGAACUUGACAUGCAACAAUUUUAAAGAUUUUACUUAGGUACAGUUCGUAUAAGGAAAUUCAUUUUAAUGAAUGAAUUAGGCCCUAAUCUAUGGAUUUCACAUGACUGGGAAUACAGAUAUGCAUCUGUUGGUCACAGAUAUCUUCAAAGAAAAAAAUGGGCCACAGGAUCUCGUCACGGUAUCUCUGUGCACUCAAAUUGCCAUCGAUAAAAUGCAAUUGUGUUCGUUGUCCGUAGCUUAAGCCUGUCCAUGCCAUAACCCCACCGCCACCACGGGGCACACUGUUCACAGCUUUGACAGCGUUUCGCCCAUACAACACCAUACACGUAAGUCCGGUUGGACGUACUGCCAAAUUCUCUAAAACGACGACGAAGUUGGCUUAUGUUCUCAGGCAUCAGCUCUGGUGGACAUUCCUGCAGUCAACAUGCAAAUUGCACACUCCCUCAAAAGUUGAGACAUCUGCAGCCUUUUAUUGCCCCCAGCACAAGUUUCACCUGUGUAAUGAUCAUGCUGUUUAAUCAGCUUCUUGCUAUGCCACACCUGUCAGGUGGAUGGAUUAUCUUAGGAAAGGAGAAAUGCUCACUAACAGAGAUGUAAACAAAUGGGACCAACACAUUACAUGUUCUGUAGAUCUUUGUUGUUGUUCAGUGUAGCUUUUGGAAAACCAGGCCCAGGUAGAGUGCUUAACCAGUACAUUUUGACCAAUCAUUUAGAGGGAGGAGUAUGGUGUGAGUUUAAAUGUAUUGUUGAGGAGGCGAAUUACGCAUUUUACACACAUUUCUAACUUUCUAUGCAAUGCUGUCAAUGGAUACAUAAUGCUGUUCUAUUUCAAGGUUCAGCAUAGGAGUCUUAUUUUCCACAGGUUUAAGGUCUCUUGUCUUUGUUGAAAGGAUAACUGAGGCUGCUGAAAGAAUAGAGUUGCUGUGGCAACAGGCCUUUUCUAAGGCCCACCUCCAGGUGCAGGUCUACCAGCUGUGUGAUGAGGCACAGCAGGUGGGUUAUAAUACAUAACAAUUACUCCAGGGUUGUGUUCAUUAGGGCAUGCAACAUAAAAUAUUUGUGCAAAAUAUCCAGGUAGUCCCUCACUGUUUUAAGUGCGUUUUUCUUCCAUUUGGUGCCCAAUGAAAAUGACCCAUCAUGCGUUUUUGUUUAUUUUUGGUUAAUUUACCUCCACUUGCAGAUAGCUUUUAAUCUGUUCAGUUAUCAAAAAGAGAAGCUCCAGACGUACAGAAUCGAGAUUGCUAAAGAUGCGAGGAAGGCUGAGACGUUAACAUCUGAAUUUGAGGCAUCCAUCUAUACACCUGCCAUGGCUCUAGGCCGCUGUGCUGAGGAUGUGAUCCACACGUUAGCUGACACUCUGCUUCCUGGUGAUGCCCAGACCAGGGAAGAGUGGGUGCAGGAUCCGGACAGACUGAAGGAGAACUUCCACUCUGCUGUAGAGCGCCCUCAUCAGACCCUCGGAGCAGUCGCCGACUUCGACCACUACUACAACAAAGCCAAUAGCUGGUACAGCAUCGUCCUGUGUGAGAACUUUCUCCAAGACCUUCUGUGGGGUGUGAACUGUGACAGCCUCCCCAAACGGUACCACCCGCUGGAGAUGCAUGGCCCUGACCCUGUGUGAAGGCAGGCGGUCUGUGACUUCCUGAGAAGGAACCCCUCCCCAGACAUGGAGUAGCUGGUCCAGCUGGCUCACCUGGCCAAUGUCAUCCCUGACGCCCAGCUCUAGCAGAAGGGCAAACAGCUGUCACAAAGGUGCAUGAACCUGCGAAAACUCCUGACUUCUCCAGGGGCAGUACCUAUCUGCAGUGGCAGUAUGAGUUUCUGAGAGCCCGCCACAGGAAAGGGCCUGGGCCACACACUAACCUGGGUGUGGGUGGAGGCCCCGAGGCCAUUAACAGUCCAGGCGGGGCAUUAUGUAGUCUCCAAAAAACCUCUCGUUCCAGAUCAGACUGACAACCUGCACAGCCGUAGCUCCCUCUCUAACCUCAAACACCAAGUCCUUCUAGGUACGUCCCCCUCCAGUGCUAUCUCUGGGGCUGUGUCUGCUGUGGGGAAUACUCCCUCUCUCAGCUCCUCUGACUGGUGUUGAUGGAGCAGGAAGCAGCCAUGUGGAGACUGGG